rnacentral:rRNA from 1 species
UAUUUAUUUUAUUAUAUUUAUUUUUUGUUUACUUAAUUAUUUAAUAAAAAUAAUUUUGUUGAAUUUUGUCUUAGCAUAUUUUGUAGAAUUGAUUUUUUAUAUUAUAGUUUAUUGGUAAUGUAAUUGUUUUAUGAAAUAUUAUUUUAAAUUUUUAAAAGUAGAUUUUAUUUAUUGUACCUUUUGUAUCAGGGUUUAUCAAAAUUUUAGUAUUUACUUUACUUGUCUCGAUUUGGGUUGAUUUAUAAAUAAUUUAUAGUUAAUGUAUCAUAAUUCUUAUUAAAUUAUUUAUAGAAAUGAGAUGUUAACCGUUUCCCAAGAUAUCUAGUUUCUUAAGAAAAAAUUUAAUUUUUUAAAGUUAAUUGUUUUUAUUUAAUUUUUUAAGUAUAAAUAUUAACUUAUUUAUUCUUUAAGGGAUAAGCUUUGAAGUUAAUAACCUAUAAUUUGUUUUAAUAAAAUAUAAUAGUAAGCUUUAAACCAGCUAUCUUUAAGAUUACGUUUUAGUUCAUUAUUUUUAUUUUUGAUUUUUUAACUAUUUUAGGUUUUUUAUUAAGAUUAUAAAUUUAAUUUUUAAAUUUUUGUAAUAAUGAUAGAAUUAGUAUAUUUAUUUGUAUAUAAUUUUUACCUUGUUAAUUUAUUAUAAGGAACUAGGC